rnacentral:rRNA from 1 species
UACGUAGGGUGCAAGCGUUGUCCGGAAUUAUUGGGCGUAAAGAGCUCGUAGGUGGCUUGUCACGUCUGCUGUGAAAACUCGGGGCUCAACCCCGAGCCUGCAGUGGAUACGGGCUAGCUAGAGUGCGGUAGGGGAGACUGGAAUUCCUGGUGUAGCGGUGAAAUGCGCAGAUAUCAGGAGGAACACCAAUGGCGAAGGCAGAUCUCUGGGCCGUAACUGACGCUGAGGAGCGAAAGCAUGGGGAGCGAACAGG